GUGGAUAUUUGGCUGCUAUGUGGUGUGUGCCCUGGAUCUGUGAUGGGAGUGUGCGCGGUUGCCGCUUGGGGAUUGAGUCCAAUCUGCGUGUGUUCAUUUCUGCGAUUCCGUCGAUUUGGGGGCACAUUUUGCUUGGGUCCCUUCGGCCGGUGCCGCCGCUUUGCUGCGCUUGCUGCAUUCUCGGCACGUGUGGCCAUGCUGCUGGGCAUGUUUUGAUUGGAUGGUCUCUUGUUUGGACGGCCGUAUUAGUACAUAUCUAUCUGCUCUUUCAGAUUUAGGUUGAUGAGCUCGGGAUUCGAGUGUCUGGAUCCAAAAUGCGCAGCGUUUAGUUGUACGGUUCUGUCGUAUCUUGGCGGUGGCUCAUGGAUGCUUUGUCCUGAAUCGGUUUUUCCUACUGCAGGUUUAGCAUUCAGGUUUAAUUGUUCAGACUGGAUUGCAGUGAUGAUUUGGUCUAUGACAGAUUGAUGGUCUAUUUUACCUAGCACAGGUUUAGCAUGGAGAUUCAGUUAUCGUGUAUGAUGCUUUCCCUGUUGUAGUUCGGUAGGUUGUUUCUUACAUGACAACACCCUUAUAUUGUACUAAAAGUAUAUUUUCUACAAUAUAGAUGAGCACUUUGAGUAGUGGUCACCAUUUUCUGCUUCAGCCAUUCAUGCCUGCAUCGCUAAAAAUGUACUCUACAAGGUACAAACACAGAUAUUCACUUUUUAGUGUAGGAAGGAAGAAUUAGUGCUGGGUAGCAGGAAUUUAUACAAAAUCUAUUGCAAAAUAGCAGGGGCCUUGGAACAUACUGACCCCUCUAAUACUGGAAACUACUUGCAAUCAGGUCUGUGGAAUAAUUCUAUAGGAUGGACACGCGCAAAGUGCAACUACGCAAACAAACCACAUCCAUCAGUAAUGCAUUUCAUUCAGUUUAAGUGACAAACCUAUUACAGUCUAAAUAAGAUAGAAUGACUAUUGAGAUGCUAGAAAGUUACUCAAGUAUACUUAGGUAUGUUGACAAAAAGUAUUAAUAGGUUCAUGAUACUCACAAGGUAAAAUGCAACUUGCCUUAUCUUGCAUGCUUUGAAAUACUUAUUAGGAUGCGGCUUCAAAUUGACAUAAGAUCAAAUUCAGUCUCCUCUUUUAGAGAAAGGUUUGUACUCCUUUAUCAUAGGUGAAAGCAAUAGGAUCUUAACUGAACAGGAGCAACCAAUCUGCAAAUUGCUCAGGGUAUUCGCGUUCUUGUUUUGCAUCUUGAUUUGUCAAGUUCGAAUGCCUAGGGCCUAGGCUCUCUGGGUGCAGAUGUCCUCUCUCUAUCCUUUCACUAUCCCUUUCAAUUUAGGAACGAUAUACAACAGCUGGUUCUUUCCUUUAAUGCAGCAACGGUGUUUCAGUUUAGCUGAAAUCGAACGUUUAACAGUAGAUGCAGUCCCCUUUUGUUCAAGAUAUCAUAUUAGACCAAAUGGACUUCCUUCUGCCAUUUUGGUCUAUCCAAAAUUGAAUAUGGAAAAUUUAUGUUCGUGUAGCCUGGUCGUGCAGAUCUCAUGUAGCCUGGUGAUGCAGAUAAGGUAGGCUGAAGGUAGGUGGUGAUAAAACAUUGCUACCAAAGUUCCUCUCAAACUGACCCAAGUGAGGCUAUAGCAUAGGCAUCAAUACAUCUACAAAUAAGGAUAAGAUGCAGAAAACAACACAUAUUUAUUAAAGCAUAAUAGUUCUGAUAUUUCAACAGCAGAUAAGCUACUAAUGAACCAUGCACCAUGUUUGAUAAGAAUGUCCAUUACCCUGUACUUCAGCACUUACAUAGUACAUAUUAUACCGUUACGUACCCUGUAACUGCAACUUGAACAGAAGGACAAAUUAAUGUUACGUCACUUCGAAAUGUAACUGACAAUAUUUCCUCAAAAGGUCUAUUUUCUUGCUCACCAAAUAUGUUACAUAGUGGUUAGUUGUUUCAUCCUUAUUUUCUUCAUGGCAUUUUUUUUAAAUCAUGUCUUGCUCCAAACCGACAGAGUAUUAACAGUUGAGAUGAAGCUCACUAAGUAUUGGUUGAUAGGGACAUGCCUUGUGCUCACCAGGUGUUUUCCGUGUUGCACAAUGGACUCAGUGAUGCUACAGUGGAGGCGGCCUCCACACGGCACACAAUUGACAGAACCCAUCCCGAAGAAAGCCAUGUUGCCGACCAAGAGUAUGUGUUGCUACUCGCUUCCGAUUGAAUCGUCAUUCUUGUGAUGGAAAUCAAAUCUCUGGCAUGCAAUUUGGUGAUAGGAUGUUUCCAUCCAUUCCAAGGGAAAAUUGAUUCUGAAAAUGGAACAUGGGUGGCACAGAUGAUGUAGAGGACAUGGCGCCCGGUCAGGGGAACUUCCAUCAUCUAUUUCCCCUUACGUCUUCGAUAUUGUCGGUGGCCAUUGCUAUUUUGUGCUUGCACGUGUGAAAUUAUGACUGCAUAUGCACAUAGAUGAGGAAUCACAAGCCACUGCUACUCGGUAUUUACAAAUUUCGGCUCAUGUUUUUAGUUGCAUCUCUUCACGAGGUCUUCAAAAUAUUACUUUACAUUGUUUGGCAAUUCCUUCACGAGGUUUUAUAUGCACGUUGGUUUAUGGUGGCGAGGUUGGCUGGCGGUAGGAUUGGCGGUGGCCUGUUAUUGAUGUGUUUGUGUUUUUUUAUGUGUGAAUUUGGUGGGAACUACAAGAUCAUUGUGUGUUUGGUGGUGAUCUGAGCAUUUUGAGUGUUGGACAUGUGGAUAUUUGUACAGCGGUGGGAUUCCAAAAACUUGGUUGCGGCGAGGGAGGUAGAGCAGAAAAGGUGAGGAAUCUCUCUAUGCAAAGAGGACAUACAACGUUGGUCAGCAGACAUUGAUUUGGAGGCAGUAUAUGUCAUAGUAGUUGAUCUGGAUCCUAGCCAAGGUUUUUUUAAUCAAAGUUUCCCACUGUUCUUGAUUAAGAAAAUCAGUUUUAUUUCCGUACUGUCAAAAGACGUACAUGCUGAUUAACCAUUCAGGUUUGGCUUGUUGGACAAUGUCGUGAAGCUGCAAUCCAUCAGUUUGGUCCCUUUCAUGAGUACUGCUGCAUUGUUUUGUAGAAUACUGAGGAUGAAAAAUUGAUGUCGUCUUUGUAGUGAUUGAAGUGAACAUGGGUUCUUGAAACAUACUUUGAGGUAAUGGUUCAACACAGAGACUUACCUUACUUCUUAACAUGGUGCAUUUGCAUGCCUAACAAAGACUGCAAUAUAUAGUGAAAUAUAUGCAAUAGGUGUCUAUUUUUUCCCUACAAUAACUUCUAUACUGAACAUGCAUAAGGAAGUUACAAGUUACUGUGUCAAGGCCUUAAAUUUUCUGUAUUAUCGGCAUUUGAUGUAUGGUAACAUAAGUAUGUGAAUCGAUGCUCGAGACGCGUAUCCAUGCUUUCCCUCCCCAGCGAUGUGGUUCAUCAACCGCUAUUAUGAGGCGCUGAAAGUGCGAGCUUAUGAAAGGCCUAAAGCAUCACGGUUUUGGAGAUGCAGAUUUUGAUAAAUCUGACUGGGGAAUCUUAUAUGAUCUAGAUUUAUUGAAGUGCUCUCCUAUAAAAUGAUCAAUUAUGUGUAUUUUCCUUCCUAGGCAUAUGUUUGUCUGUAUAAAAUUGAAAAUGGUUUCUUAGUUUUCUAUGCUAAAAUAUCCCAGUGUCCAAGACAUAGUAGAAAUGUUGCAUGAUUUUCCAUCCUAAACAAACUGCACAUAAAAUUGAAGUAAGUGAUAUUGAGUUCAUGUAGAUUGAGUUCUAAAUUCUUAUACCUUUUUUUAAUAGUAUAUUUUCAUUUUCUACAAAGUUAUUACAAGUAGUUCAACAGAGCACAUUGCACUAGAAGCUUAAAGCCUGGCAAUUGAUCUCUGGAGUUUGGGAUGUCCCAAUAUUUGAUAUCAAUUUGAGCGGAUGUGAUUUAUCUUUGCAUGUUAGUUUAUCUUUGGCUAUUCUUUAUGUCUCAGCUAAUGGAGGGUUAUUAGCAAAUAAUAUAUAAGUAUUAGUUUUUCCAUGUAAUAGUGUUUUUUGAAUUGGAGAAGUUGUAAAGGUACUUAUUCAUGUCUUUUUGUUGGCGCCUAUGAUAUGGGGUUGAUGACAAGAAAAUGGGACUGUCGCUGCAUUCAUCUCCUAUUCUGCUGCAUGGACUGUUCCUUCUCUAUGCGCGCAAUUUCCAUGGUGUGAUGUGGUUCGGACCUUAGGAAGGCCCGGGGAUUUGGGGCCGUGUUUGGUUUGUGAUCUGCAUUUACUAUUUUUCUGAGUCUGCUUAUCUACGAUUUUGGUGUGUUGUUAGCCUAGGUGCUGCUAGACUUCACAUUGGGUUGUUGUUAAUCCCUGUCCGAGCACUUUAUUCGUGUUGUUAAUGGUCGGCUUAUUGUUGAUGUUAUUUUUUCCUAUCCAUGGGUGCUCUAGCAUGUUUGUUGCGGUAACGAUAUGUGCUAAAGGAACACAUAAUCAUGUAUGCAAAUGUAGAAGAAAAUGCAAACAGUACAAACGGGCGCAGCAAAGCGCGCAUGGUCCAUC